UACGUAGGGUGCAAGCGUUGUCCGGAAUUAUUGGGCGUAAAGAGCUCGUAGGCGGUCUGUCGCGUCGGCUGUGAAAUCCCGGAGCUCAACUCCGGGUCUGCAGUCGAUACGGGCAGACUGGAGUUCGGCAGGGGAGACUGGAAUUCCUGGUGUAGCGGUGAAAUGCGCAGAUAUCAGGAGGAACACCGGUGGCGAAGGCGGUUCUCUGGACAGUUCCUGACGCUGAGGCACGAAGGUCAGGGGAGCAAACGGG
rnacentral:rRNA from 1 species